rnacentral:rRNA from 1 species
UACGUAGGGUCCAAGCGUUAUCCGGAAUCACUGGGCGUAAAGCGUGCGUAGGUGGCGCGUUAAGUGAGAUGUUAAAUCGUGUGGCUCAACCAUAUCGAUGCAUCUCAUACUGGCGUGCUAGAGGACGGCAGAGGCAAGUGGAAUUAGCAGUGUAGCAGUGAAAUGCGUAGAUAUUGCUAGGAACACCAAUGGCGAAGGCAGCCUCCUGGGCCAACACUGACGCUCAUGCACGAAAGCGUGGGGAGCAAACAGG